GUUGCUACUCGGCCUUUUGGCUAAGAUCAAGUGUAGUAUCUGUUCUUAUCAGUUUAAUAUCUGAUACGUCCUCUACCCCGCCUGUAACUUUUUAAAAAAACAUUUUUGGGAGAUUGUAUGCUGCCCGGGAGACACUUAAUCAUUUUGUAACUUAAAUUGUUAAUUUAUAUAAGCUAUAAUAAGUCUU